CGGCGGCAGCUUACAAUGCAAGUCGAGCGGUAACAGGAGAAGCUUGCUUCUCGCUGACGAGCGGCGGACGGGUGAGUAAUACUUAGGAAUCUACCUAGUAGUGGGGGAUAGCACGGGGAAACUCGUAUUAAUACCGCAUACAACCUACGGGAGAAAGGGGGCAGUUUACUGCUCUCGCUAUUAGAUGAGCCUAAGUCGGAUUAGCUAGAUGGUGGGGUAAAGGCCUACCAUGGCGACGAUCUGUAGCUGGUCUGAGAGGAUGAUCAGCCACACCGGGACUGAGACACGGUCCGGACUCCUACGGGAGGCAGCAGUGGGGAAUAUUGGACAAUGGGGGAAACCCUGAUCCAGCCAUGCCGCGUGUGUGAAGAAGGCCUUUUGGUUGUAAAGCACUUUAAGCAGUGAAGAAGACUCCAUGGUUAAUACCCAUGGACGAUGACAUUAGCUGCAGAAUAAGCACCGGCUAACUCUGUGCCAGCAGCCGCGGUAAU
rnacentral:rRNA from 1 species